GGAGACUCUCAAAGGGUACUUUUCCCUUUAACUUUCUCUCUUUGUUUCUAAUUUUGUUUUUUAGUAGUUUUAAUUGUUCAGGGUUUGACUCAAACCGUUUGAGAGCUUGGUGUUUACUUGCAACCACAUUCUUGGAUUCUCUAACACAAGGUUGUAAGGCUGAAUAUCGUGUGAAUCAGAUAAGGAAUAACUAUUUUAACUUAUCUUGAAUCAAUAUACAAUUAUAUUAAUCGAAAUAAGCUAGAGAAAGGUUUAUUUGUCUGUGGUAUAAGCAGUGGCAUAAGUUGCUGGAAGAACUUGCACGAUAGAGUAAAACAAGAAUAUCAACUAGCCACGAACUCCUACUUCUUAAAGCACCGCAAUCCGUAGCUGUGAAAAAAUGUGAGAGAUCAAGUUCUAGAGAAAAACCAAAAGCUAAGCAAGAUUCAGAUUUGUGGAAGUAAAGCUUUUGCAUGAUAAUUCAAUAAAAUCAUAUUCAGAUCUAUCGCAAUGGAGCAUUAAAAUGGUCGUGCGUCAUAUUUGCCCAUUCGAGUCCAAAGUCAAGAUCUAUUUAGAGCAAUCAAAAUACACAUUUUGAAAAGAAGUCUUCUUUCAUCCUUGCACGGUGAAGAACAAAGACUCUGCUUCCCUUUCCAGGAUUCUUAUUCGUUUGGUUGUUGAAAGAUACCAAGAACUCUCAUCAAAACUAGAGUACAAUUUUCCAUUGAAGUAGCAAGAGUAGAUCUAUGGAGGUGCUUUCCAGGAUUUUGAAGUAACGUGAAGCUGAAUAUUGAAAAUAUGCAAAGACAAAAAGGCUCGAGCGGGAAUCAGGGAGGUUCACUUCCAUUGACUUACAUCGACAGCAGAAGGCAGUAGUCAAGGUGCUCUCCUGAUUAGGUGGUGCUAGAGAAAACGAAGGAAAGCCUAGGUGCAUGGUGCAACAUAUGGUAAUUUGUUGGAUUGUUGCCCCCAAGACAUGAAAGUACUGAAACCAUUGGAAGGGCUUUGACUCUCGGUGUUAACAUCAAGAUGAUCACUGGUGAAUUUGCUCACCCAUUGAUCGUGUUGUAAUAAUAAUACACCUUUGCCAUUUUCCACUAACAUUCUAUUGGACGACGUAGGCCAGAUAACCAGUUGUAAACUUGGAAUGGGAAUAAACAUGUAUCCAUCUUCGGCUUUUCUUGGUACGCACAAGUGGUAGGAACCAACAAACCCCAUGGAUGAAUAUGUCUCUCAAGUCUCAAUGGUUGUAAGUUUUGUCACGUAAGAGACAUGGAGAACAUACCUGGCAGAGAAUCAAGUGAAUUCCUCCAAAGAACUGAUCAGAUUAGAAAGAGCUAGUGUCUUGCGGCUGAAUAGGUAAACAUUCUUAGAAUAAAACUACUAGCAAAUUGGAAAUAUGUUAUACCCAUCUUUCUCAGAUUUUUUCAGAAUGGGAGAUAUGUAAAGGAAGGAACAAAUACUUUUGACAAACUAUUUAGGCCAUCGUCAAAGAUUUUGCAACAUACACAUCCAUUAAUUAGUAUUCAGUAGACAGUGGAAAGAAGUGUCUAAAGGAAACUUGAACCCAGAUGUCUGCAUAGAGGUAAAUCCACAUAAGAUCUCACACCCUCGGCCAAGUUCACAUCACACAUUAGAAUUAUAGAACCUUGACGUGUCUUUAUUCGGUGGAGCAUGGAAUUCUUCUCAUUGUAGAUCGCUGCUUGACAUUGUUUGACAAUCCACUGGUCGACUCUCUUCACACAACUUACAAUGAGCUCAAGCUUAAAAAUGGGUGUGUUCGGCAUUCUAAAUCAAUGUCACAAAGGAGACAAGCGGUAAGAACCACCAAACCCCAUUGACGAAGAUGGUCUCCUGGAAGAUUUGGCACGUAAGAGACGUAGAGAACAUACUUGUUGGAGCAUCAAAUGAUUUCCUCCAAAGAAAUUGAUUAGAUUGGGAAGACUAGUGUCUCGCGGCUGAAUAGGUAAGCAUGCUUGGAGCAUAACGGCUAGCGGCAAUGUCCAACUGCCAUUAGGAACAACCUGAAAAUCUACAUCGACCUCUUUGAUAGCGUGAUAUAGUCAUGUGUGCAUGCAUACAUUCAUAUGUGCAUACAUUCAUACAUCCAUACAUUCAUGCAUACAUUCAUACAUUCAUACAUUCAUACAUUCAUACAUCCAUACAUGCAUGCAUACAUUCAUACAUGCAUACAUUCAUACAUUCAUACAUCCAUACAUGCAU
rnacentral:sRNA from 1 species